GCUAAAAACUUAGCUUAACUAACUCCUAUGUAUUUCCCACCCACAUAACAAACUUAAUAAAACAUUUUACAUAUUUAGUAAAGGCGAUUAAAAAAUGUCUAAAAGCUAUAGAAACUAGUACCGCAAGGGAAAAGUGAAAUAAAAAUGAAAAAUCUUAAGCACAAAAAAGUAGAGCUACAAUCUCGUACCUUUUGCAUCAUGGUCUAACUAGUCUAAUCAAGCAAAAUGUAUUUUAAGUUUGACCCCCCGAAACUAAGUGAGCUACUUAAAAACAGCCUUUAGGGCCAACCCGUCUCUGUUGCAAAAGAGUGGGAAGAUUUUUAAGUAGAGGUGAUAAACCUACCGAACCUAGAGAUAGCUGGUUAUUCAGGAAAAGGAUUUAAGUCCUACCUUAGGUUUACUGUACAAUUUAUAAUACACCCCCCCCAACCUUAAGAGCUAUUCAAAUAAGGUACAGCCUAUUUGAAACAGGAUACAACCUCCACCAACGGGUAAUAUUUUCUUUAAUCAACCAAGUGGGCCUAAAAGCAGCCACCUUACAAAAAGCGUUAAAGCUUAAUUGUCCAAAUUAAAAAUCCCCAUAAUUAAUUAUAACCCUUACUCUGUACUGAAUAGUCUCAUAAUAUUAUGAGAGCCUAUAUGUUAGAACUAGUAACAAGAAGAAGCCCUUCUCCAAAAUGUAAGCAUGAGCCAAAAUGAACUCUUCAUUGGCACUUAAAGUCGUAAACCCACUGUAGUAACCCAAACAAGAAAAACCUACAAAUUAUUAACGUCAACCUUACACCAGCGCAUUUAUGGAAAGAUUAAAAGAAUGGGAAGGAACUCGGCAAAUAAUUAACCCCGCCUGUUUACCAAAAACAUCGCCUCCUGUAACCCCAUGGGAGGUCCAGCCUGCCCAGUGACAAAGUUAAACGGCCGCGGUACCCUAACCGUGCAAAGGUAGCGCAAUCACUUGUUCUUUAAAUGAGGACUAGUAUGAACGGCAUCACGAGGGUUAUGCUGUCUCCCCACUCUAUUCAGUGAAACUGAUCUCCCCGUGAAGAAGCGGGGAUAAAAAUAUAAGACGAGAAGACCCCAUGGAGCUUUAAACUCAGUAGCAAUUGCCUAAAUAAAAAACCUAAUAUUCUGCAACCAUGCCUGCUAGUUUUUGGUUGGGGUGACCGCGGAGUAAAACUAAACCUCCAUGAUGAAAGGAAUUAAUAACCUAACCCACGAGCUACAGCUCUAAGUAUUAACAAAUUAACUAAAUUGACCCAAUUACUUGAUCAACGAACCAAGUUACCCUGGGGAUAACAGCGCAAUCCAUUUCAAGAGCUCAUAUCGACAAAUGGGUUUACGACCUCGAUGUUGGAUCAGGGUAUCCCAGUGGCGCAGCUGCUACUAAUGGUUUGUUUGUUCAACAAUUA
rnacentral:rRNA from 1 species